rnacentral:rRNA from 1 species
AGCUCCAAUAGCGUAUAUUAAAGUUGUUGCCGUUAAAAAGCUCGUAGUCGAACUUCGGCCUUUGCCGCCCGGUCCGCCUAUUUGGGCGUGUACUGGAGCGGUGGAGGCUUACCUCGUGGUGAACGGCCAUGCUCUUUACUGGGUGUGGUCGAGAACCAUGACUUUUACUUUGAAAAAAUUAGAGUGUUCAAAGCAGGCUUACGCCCGAAUACAUUAGCAUGGAAUAAUAAAAUAGGACGUGCGGUUCUAUUUUGUUGGUUUCUAGGAUCGCCGUAAUGAUUAAUAGGGAUAGUUGGGGGCAUUCGUAUUCAAUUGCUAGAGGUGAAAUUCUUGGAUUUAUUGAAGACGAACUACUGCGAAAGCAUUUGCCAAGGAUGUUUUCA